CCUACGGGGGGCUGCAGUGGGGAAUAUUGCACAAUGGGCGAAAGCCUGAUGCAGCAACGCCGCGUGGGUGAUGAAGGUUUUCGGAUUGUAAAGCCCUGUCUUUUGGGACGAUAAUGACGGUACCAAAGGAGGAAGCCACGGCUAACUACGUGCCAGCAGCCGCGGUAAUACGUAGGUGGCGAGCGUUGUCCGGAUUUACUGGGCGUAAAGGGUGCGUAGGCGGAUAUUUAAGUGGGAUGUGAAAACCCCGGGCUUAACCCGGGGACUGCAUUUCAAACUGGAUAUCUGGAGUGCAGGAGAGGAAAGCGGAAUUCCUAGUGUAGCGGUGAAAUGCGUAGAGAUUAGGAAGAACACCAGUGGCGAAGGCGGCUUUCUGGACUGUAACUGACGCUGAGGCACGAAAGCGUGGGUAGCAAACAGGAUUAGAUACCCGUGUAGUC
rnacentral:rRNA from 1 species